AGGGUGCAAGCGUUGUCCGGAAUUAUUGGGCGUAAAGAGCUCGUAGGCGGUUUGUCGCGUCUGCUGUGAAAUCUGGUGGCUCAACCAUCAGCGUGCAGUGGGUACGGGCAGACUAGAGUGCGGUAGGGGAGAUUGGAAUUCCUGGUGUAGCGGUGGAAUGCGCAGAUAUCAGGAGGAACACCGAUGGCGAAGGCAGAUCUCUGGGCCGCUACUGACGCUGAGGAGCGAAAGCAUGGGGAGCGA
rnacentral:rRNA from 1 species